AUAUAUAUAUCUAUGUUUUUGUUUAUAUACGUAUAAAUAUUUUUCUCUCUAUACUCUAUGCUACGAUUUUUCCUUUAGACAGCUAGACAUAGACAGUAUCUGCUUGUUUUGGGGAAAACGGCAUAGCGAUCCGGUCUAUGACAAUCAAUGAUGUUAGGCGGGACGCUGCGGAAUUUUCGCGCAUUCGCGAAUAGUAGUGACGGUUAACCAGUGAUGUAUCAGCUUAUGGGCGCAAAAAAUUUGGCGGGCUUAAAUAAGAUCACUUGGUUGUUUCAACUAAUUAAUUGAUUUAACUGAUUACUUUAAGAAGUGAAAUGAAGUUGAGAAUUUCAAAGCGCGCGAGGAACAAGCGCCAGCUAGUUGUAAAUACUUCAAGAAAACUACGAAAUAUUGUAUAAAUAUUGAUGAAAUAUUUUUAAAAAGUGUUUAUUAAUGUUUCCAGAAUAUUCAUAGAAUGUUUCAAGAAUAUUCUUUAAAUAUUCCUGAAAUAAUCAAAAUGUUUUCAAUGUUUUCCUAAAAUGUUUAUAGAACAUUCUAAGAACGUUCUACUAAUAUCUAGAGAAUAUUAUAAUCAUAUUCUGAAUAUUCCAUGUGAAUCGAAAUGUAUCAUAGAAUAUUAUCGAAAUAUUUAUAGCAAGUUAUAUAAAAUUUUUCAGAAUAUUCAUAGCACAUACUAUAAAUACUUUAAGAAUAUUUACAAUAUGUUCUAUGAAUAUUUCAAAUAUUUCGAAAUAUUCUGUAUUUGUCAAAAUAUUUAUAGAACAUUCCAGGCAAUUGCGAUAUAUACUAUAUUUAUUGGAAUAUUUAUAGAAUAUUAUAUGCAUAUUCUGAAUGAACAAAAUUCCAUGGAAUAUUCAUAGAACGUCUAUAGAAUAUUCUCAAUGACCCAUCGAAUAUUAGAAUAUUUAUAACAUAUUUUAACACAUUCUUAGCAUAUUCUUUGCUGUAUGGGCUGCUCUAAGCUACACUUCUCGACACAGCACUCUCUGCACUACUCGAAGAAAUGUCUGACUUACAAGCUUAAAGCAAACAAAAAGAUUUUCCUAAAUCAGUUUUCACGUAUAAUUCGCAUUCCGUUAUACUAAUUGAACAUCUUCGAUUGAGACGAAUUUUACGCGCAUCGAUUGUCGAAGGCGAAUGACUAUAUCGAUAAAACAUCGGACGUCUUUCAAGUGAGGGCUCCAAGUAAAAGUUGUAGCAAAGUACCAAUUACAAUUUUCAGCUCCAUCAUGACGAAUUAUUGACCUGUUAUGAGAAAACGCAUUAUAAUCUGCUUUGUACGCAACAAGAUAUUAUGAUCUCAAAA